rnacentral:rRNA from 1 species
AGUGAACGCUGGCGGUAGGCCUAACACAUGCAAGUCGAACGGCAGCACAGUAAGAGCUUGCUCUUACGGGUAGCGAGUGGCGGACGGGUGAGGAAUACAUCGGAAUCUACUUUUUCGUGGGGGUUAACGUAGGGAAACUUACGCUAAUACCGCAUACGACCUACGGGUGAAAGCAGGGGAUCUUCGGACCUUGCGCGAUUGAAUGAGCCGAUGUCGGAUUAGCUAGUUGGCGGGGUAAACGCCCACCAAGGGGGCGAUCCGGAGCUCGUCUGAGAGGAUGAUCAGCCACACUGGAACUGAGACACGGUCCAGACUCCUACGGGAGGCAGCAGUGGGGAAUAUUGGACAAUGGGCGCAAGCCUGAUCCAGCCAUACCGCGUGGGUGAAGAAGGCCUUCGGGUUGUAAAGCCCCUUUGUUGGGAAAGAAAAGCAGCAGGUUAAUACCCCGCUGUUCUGACGGUACCCAAAGAAUAAGCACCGGCUAACUUCGUG